AAGGCUUUAAGUUAACUAAACUAAUAUCCUUCAAAGCUAUAAAUAAAGUAAAAGUCUUUAAGCCUUA
rnacentral:tRNA from 1 species